rnacentral:rRNA from 1 species
AUUGAACGCUGGCGGCAUGCUUUACACAUGCAAGUCGAGCGGCAGCGCGGGGGCAACCCUGGCGGCGAGCGGCGAACGGGUGAGGAAUACAUCGGAACGUACCCCGGAGUGGGGGAUAACGCCGCGAAAGCGGCGCUAAUACCGCAUAUGCUCUGAGGAGGAAAGUGGGGGACCUGCAAGGGCCUCACGCUCUGGGAGCGGCCGAUGUCCGAUUAGCUAGUUGGUGGGGUAAAGGCCCACCAAGGCGACGAUCGGUAGCUGGUCUGAGAGGACGAUCAGCCACACUGGGACUGAGACACGGCCCAGACUCCUACGGGAGGCAGCAGU